rnacentral:rRNA from 1 species
GACGAACGCUGGCGGCGUGCUUAACACAUGCAAGUCGAACGGAAAGGCCCUGCUUUUGUGGGGUGCUCGAGUGGCGAACGGGUGAGUAACACGUGAGUAACCUGCCCUUGACUUUGGGAUAACUUCAGGAAACUGGGGCUAAUACCGGAUAGGAGCUCCUGCUGCAUGGUGGGGGUUGGAAAGUUUCGGCGGUUGGGGCUGGACUCGCGGCGUAUCAGCUUGUUUGUGGGGUAGUGGCUUACCAAGGCUUUGACGGGUAGCCGGCCUGAGAGGGUGACCGGCCACAUUGGGACUGAGAUACGGCCCAGACUCCUACGGGAGGCAGCAGUGGGGAAUAUUGCACAAUGGGCGGAAGCCUGAUGCAGCAACGCCGCGUGCGGGAUGACGGCCUUCGGGUUGUAAACCUCUUUCGCCUGUGACGAAGCGUGAGUGACGGUAAUGUGUAAAGAAGCACCGGCUAACUACGUG